UUCUUGUUUUUUCUGUUUUGAGUUUUCAAGUUAUAAUUUUGUUUGGAGUGCAAAAGUUCAAGUGUGGGGGAAUUUUAUCAAUGCAUUUUGAUGCACCUUCUUAUACUAUUGUACUUAGGAAAAUAUAUAGUUUAUUCUAUUAUUUUUAUUAUUUUAGUAUGUUUUUAUAUUUAAUUUUAUUGUUGGCUUUAUUUUAUUUUCAUACUUUAUUUUCAGCAAAAAUAGUUA
rnacentral:lncRNA from 1 species